AGGCAGCCCGACUGUCGACCGAGUGCCCAAGGCAUUGUGGGAGUCAUGGUUCCCAGAGGCCCGCGGUGGAAAAUGGAACUUGUCAGUUCCUCGUCACGGCAGCAUGAAAUGGUGACAAAGGGCAGGCUUUUGUCCUAGCAGUUAAGACACCAGUUGAAACACCCACCUCCCACAUUGGAGUGCCUGUGUGAAAGUCCUGGCUCUGCUUCUGAUUCCAGCUUCCUACUAAUGUGUACCCUGGAACACAGUGGUGAUGGCUCAGGUGACAAGGAAGGACAGGACAGGCCUUGCUCUUCACAGACUCAAAGGGCUGAUGUCUUUUCCUGACAGAAAGACAAUCAGGAAAAAAUCAUAGAGGCCAUUAUACAGGAUGCAGGAUUCACAUUGUGGAAGAAGGAGCUUACAAUUAUGGGCUGGAGAAAGCCAAGGAGAAAGCCUGUGAGGAUGGCUUGAAACUGCAGGUAUCAGAAUGAACUCAUGAUAUCCAAAGUAUGUAUGUAUAUAUAAGGAUGUAUAUUAAUAUUUAUAUGUCUGUACAUAGAUGUGUAUAUAUGUUUAUUGUGUCUGUAUAUGAGUAUAUACAUUAAUAUGUUUCUAUUGAAAGAGCCAAGAAUGAAAAGUAUUCCAGUGGCAAUGUGACUAACAGAUCUUUGUAUCUAAUAUCUUUUCUUAUUAAAGAAAUGAGGAGUGAUUCCAGGGGUAAAACAAAUUAGGUGACAGAUUGGCCUAGAAUGUAUCAUUUUAAUUUCAGAAAGAAAGAACAGGGCCAGUGUUGUGGCACAGCAGGUAAAGCCACUGUCUGCAAUUUGGGCAUUCCAUAUGGGUGCUGGUUCCUGUCCCUUCUGCUCCAGUUCCUACUCAGCUCCCUGCUAAUGGCCUCGGAAAGCAGCAGAAGAUGAUCCUGGUACUUAGGCCCCUUCCACCCACAUGGAAGACCUGGAGAAAGCUCCUGGCGGCCUGGCUCAGCUAGGGAGUGAACCAGCAGAUAGUAAGAAUUGUGGUGAUAUUUUGUCAAAAUUAUAAUGAUAAUUCUUCUCCCAAGGUAAGAAGAAUUUUUGAGACUCUGAUAAUCACUAUAUAUUAAAAAAUGGCUCACAAUGAAAUAUUUGUAAAGCAGAAUGAUAGCAAGGUGGAAAAUUUUAUGUUGGUUUAUGGAGCAACACCAAUAGGCCAGCUUCAUUUCUGUUCAAUUUUCUGUGAUUGGAAAUUAAAUUCUAAUGCUAUUUUUCUCUAAAUUUGGAUUUAACAAUACAAAUAUUAUAUUUUCAUUGGAAAUAUUAAAUGUAACUAAAAUAAAACAUAAAAUUUUUAAAACUAUUUUCAAUAAUUUAGAAUGAUGAAAAAUAAAACUGAAAGAAAAUUUGAGAACAUCAAGUCUAAGUGCCUAAUUUUAGUUCAUGAAAAAUAAUUUUAAAAGCCAAAGAUGUCAGACAAAUGACAAAAAUAUUUCAGUAACUCUCAAACAACAUAAAUGGACAAUAAAAAAUUAGAAAUUAGCAAAUGAUAUUUUUGUUUUAUAUAGUGCAGAUGUAUAAACUAUACUGCAUUUCAAUUGUUUGCUUUGAUAGAAAUGUAAAAUGGCUUGUCCUUAUCCUUUAUAUAUGCACAAAUUAUUUCUUCUAUGAAAAUGAAAUACAUAAUCUAUCUUGAGAGCACAUGCACGGUAAUCACGCUUAUUUUUGCAAAUACAAGAGUUUUCUCAAGUAUCAGCACGUAUUUUCAUUAAUAUAAUAAAUACAUAUAUGCCACAUAUGACACUUAUAUGAAAGUUGGCUUCAUUAAAAAUAAGUAGAAAGUCAAUAGAUGUAGGAGGAUGCAAAUACUUUUAAAGGUCUGGAAGACCCUUAUUGGCUAGAUAUAGAAGGUUUUCUUUUUGAAUUCAAAACAUGUCAGUCUCUUAGUUUGCACCCAAACCAUAAUUUUUCUUUCAGGCAACAAAUAUUCUUUAUUCUUGCAAAUGGAAAAACAAUCAAAAGAAGAAUAGACAAAACAAUCAAGAAAAAGAAAAUAUUUCAAUGUUCUUUUGGAAAUUCAGUAAUUUGUGUCACAAAUAGCAUUGUUUUCAAGUGAAAUUAAAUAGUGUAGUUGUCCUUCGUUAAGGUGAAAUAGAGCACUCUGUAACCAAGUCUUCCUUUCUACAGAUGGACACUUUGAGAAGGUCGUCUAAGAGGAGGCAGAGAUACCCACUUAACUGAGAUUAUUAUCAAGAUCAGUCAGGGAAUGGAAACAAGAGCAUCAUCUGACCAUCCCCAAAUGUCUCUGAACCUCAGUCUGUAUAUCUAUAAAAGGAGCUUCCUGCUGAUGUACCUGGGAAGCAGUGGAAGAUGGCCUUAGUGCUUGGGUGCCUGCUCUUCACAUGGAAGAAUCAGAUGGAGUUCUUGGCUCCUGGCUUUAUCCUUGUCCAGCACUGGCUGUUGCAGUCAUUUGGGAAGUGAACCAGUGGAUGGAACAUCUCUCCCUCUUUGUCUCUUUGUAUCUUUCUGUCUCUCUGUUUUCCAAAUAAAUAUUUUUUUAAAAGAAGUACACUGUGCAGUUUUUCUUUAUUUGUUUUGUCCUUCCCUGCUCUUUUGUCAAUAUAGUGACCUCUACCCACCACUCCAUUAGGCUCUUUUGCCCUCUUCUUGCUGGUUGACUUUGGCUAAUGGAGGUACCAGCAUGACAUAAAGAAGAGAGAUUGGAAUAUUUAUUUAUAACCCCUUCACCCUGUCAGGGCACGAUUUGGCUACAUUCCUGUAUCUACAGGCACACAGCCAUGACUCCUCUCCCUCUGCCCCUCCUUCUCAGUCAGAGCUCUGACUAGAUUCCAGCAACACAGCUCUUCCUUGUCUUUCAAGUCUCAGGGUAGUAAUAGCUUCCCACCACUGCUAAUCUCUAGGUGCACUACCAUACUUGCGUUGACUCCUAAUCAUGCCAACACCUCUAGAUAAUCCUUUCAUUAUAUCAACUGAGAUGUAUUUUUUUUUAAGAUUUAUUCUAUUAAUUUGAAAGGCAGAGUUACAGUGACAGAGGACAAGAUGGAAAGAGAGAGAUCUUCCAUCUGCUGAUUCACCCCCAAAAUGGGCAAAAUAGCCAGGGCUGGGUCAAACUGGAGCCAGGAGCCAGGAGUUUCUUCCAGGACUCCCAUGAGGAUGUAGGAACCCAAGCUACAUUUCCAGGCACAUUAGCAGGGAACUGGACAGGAAGUGGGGCAGCUGAGAGACAAACUGGUGCCCAUAUGGGAUGCCAGUGCUAUGUUCGUUAGCUUAUCCCACUACCCCUUGAUGCCGGCCCCCCAAAAUGUAUCCUUUUAAUAGACCAUCCUUGCAGAUCUUACUUAAGAUCUACAUUAGUGGGCAGCUAUUUGGCUGAGGGUUAUGACAUCCAAUGCUUAGGAUGCCUACAUUUUAGAUCAGAGUAUGUGGUUUCUCACCUCUGCUCACUAUUCUAGCUUCAUGCUAAGGCCCAGCCUUGGAGGCGGAAUGUGAUGGAUCAAGGAGUUGUGUCCCUCACCACCACAUGGGAGAUCCUGAUGGAGCUCCAGAGUCCUGGCUUCAGCCUGGCCCAGACCUGGCUGUUGUGGGUACUUGCAGAGUGAACCAGCAGAUGGAAGAUCUCUCUGUCUGUCUGUCUUCUAUCUGUUUUUCUGCAUUUUAAAAUAAAUAAAUAAAUUUGUUUUUAAAAUGGAUAAGUAACCUAAACAAGAAAUAAAUCUUAAAUAAAUUCUACGUUAGUCCUGUCACACAAUCAAAUCAUACAUGUAAAUCUGAUGUAUUAGAAGAUGUACAGGUUCAGAAGAAACACAGAGGUAGAAAAUUAUAGAAGACAUUCUGGGCUAGAGGAAAUCCAGAUUGCCUUAGAAACAUGAAGAUUUCCCCAAGACUCAAAGGAUGGGUGGGAACUCAAGGGUGUCUGGAAGGGUGGGGCAAAUUGGAAAAGGCAGGGAAGACAGAGAUAGUAUCACAUUUAUAGAGUUGCAUGUGAUGUCCUAUUUGGGAACACAAACUGGAAAGGUUGGAAGAGGGCUUGAUGAAGGAGCACAAACAGGGGAAGCAGAAAGAAAGAGACAUCGGUAAGUAAAUGAAGAGCACCAAAUAUAUCCUAUGGUGAAGAAAGACAGACUAACAUGUUGUGAGUGUGCACAAUGAGGUCUUUUGGGUAUCUCUGCUUUUUUUCUUACCCGUUACUGAGUCUCUUUCUUGUGGUAGAAAGUCUCAUGCUUUUUUCCUUUGAGGAACAAGCCCUUCCUUGGUUUCAGCCCACCGGAGGUACCAACCUUGAUUUAUCUCUUAUAACAAGGUAGAUGUAAGCGUGUGACCAAUGUCUGGUGAAUAAGUCUAAUCUGUUCCCUUUGCCACAAUGUUCAGUGCAAAGAGACACACAUGAUUCAAGCCAGCUGGUAACACUUAUUUCUGGAAACGUUAAGCUCUACUUUUGCAGUAACUGGCUACCUCUAAGAAACAUGCAAAUCUGAUACUCCUAAGGAUCACAGUGAGGAGUUAGCAGCAAAAGAAGUAUGCCACAGUGAGCAAAGCAGAGGGAGAGCAAGAGGAGAGACUAAGUUCUAAAGACAUCAUCAGAGCUCCUGCUUCCAACUGUGUCUGAACCACAUUUCUCUUUUUUUCAUUUGAUGAGCCAGUACAUUCUUAUUCUUUUUUUUUUAAAUAUUUAUUUUAUUUAUUUGAAAGAGUUACAGAGAGAGGUAGAGACAGAGAGAGAAGUCUUCCAUCCACUGGUUCACUCCCCAGAUGGCUGCAACGGCUGGAGCUGAGCCAAUCUAAAGCCGGGAGCCAGGAGCUUCUUCCGAGUCUCCCAUGUGGGUGCAGGUGCCCAAGCAUUUGGACCAUCUUCUAUUGCUUUCCCAGACCAUAGCAGAGAGCUGGAUCAGAAGAGGAGCAGCCAGGACUAGAACCGGCACCGAUAUGGGAUGCUUGGCGCUUCAGGCCAAGGUUUAACCCACUGCACCACAGCACUGGCCCCAACAUUCUUAUUUUUUCUUAAAACCACUUGAACUAGACUUCUUUUUUUUUUUAACUUUUUUUUUUUGACAGGCAGAGUUAGACAGUGAGAGAGAGAAAGACAGAGAGAAAAGUCUUCCUUCCGUUGGUUCACCCCUCAAAGGCCGCUACAGCCAGUGUGCUACACUGAUCCGAAGCCAGGAGCCAGGUCUCUCAUGCGGAUGCGAGACCCAAGCAGCUGGGCCAUCCUCCACUGGGCCAUCCUCCACUGCCCUCCUGGGCCACAACAGAGAGCUGGACUGGAAGAGGGGCAACCGGGACAGAAUCCGGUGCCCCAACCGGGACUAGAACCCAGGGUGCCAGCACCACAGGUGGAGAAUUAGCCAAGUGAGCCGCAGCGCCGGCUUGAACUAGACUUCUGUCACUUGCAACCAAAAAGUCUUCUACUGCAGGACAAGGGGAACUGUGGAUCAGGUGGCAUGUUUUAUUUGAAAUGUUGAGUAAUCAAGAAAAGAAAGCUUUGUUUUUGUCCCUAGACUGGUGCUGGUUCAAUACUAAUAAAGUGCAAGCCUCAUAUAGCAUUAAAAUUUUCUAGUAACUGCAUUAAAAAGAGUGGUUGUUGUGGUGCAGCGAGUUAAGCCACUGCUUGGGAUGCCAGCAUCCCAUACUGGAGCGCCAGCUUGAAUCCCUCCUCUGGCUCCUAUUGGUCUUGUUGCCAGUGCACAUUCUGGGAGGCAGCAGGUGAGCUCAAAGUGGUUGGGUCCCUGCCAUGAUUGUGGGAGUCCUGCAUCGAGUUCUGGGCUUCUGGUUUCAGAUAGGCUUAGCCCUGGCUGUUUGGCUGUUGUGGGCAUUUAAGAAAUGAACCAGUGGAUAGAAGAUUCUCUCUCUCCCUCUUCGUCUCCCUCUCUGUCACCCUAUCUUUCAAGUAAAAAAUAAAAAGAAAGUAAAGAAUCAAUUGAGAAGAAUUUUAGUAAAUCAUUUUAUUUAACUUAAUAUAGAAAAAUAUUACCCUUUUAACAUGUAGUAAUAUAGAAAAUUAUAGUAUUUCCAUUUUUGAAUGGAAGCAUCAAUUGCUUAAAAUUAAGUACAAUUAAAAUUCAAGCAUAGGUGUUUGGUGUAAGGUUAAGAAAAGAUGGGAUAUCUAAAUGUCAUUCAGCAUGUCUGGGGUUGAGUCUUCAACCUACUUCCGAUUCCAGCUUCCUGCUAAUAUGCUUGUUGGGAAGCAGCAGGUGAUGGUUCAAAUGGUUAGAUCCCUGCUACCCAUAUGAGAGACCUAGAUUGAGUUUCUGGCUCCUGGCUCCUGGCUUAGGCCUGGCCUAAUCCUGCCUUGUAUCUGUUUUCGUCAUUUGGGGUAUGAUGGGAGAUUUUUGUGUCACCUUGUCUAUGAAAAUAAAUUAAUUAAUUAAAAAAUUUCAGUCCUCAAUUGCACUAGCCACAUUCCAGGUGCACAAUACCAUUGGAUAGCAAGUCCUUGGCUAUAGAUUCCAGAGUACAGAAUAAGUCGACAGCCUACGGGAAAUUCUUUUAGCUUUACAAUGAAGAGCUAUUUAAUAUAUCUAUUUAAGUUUUUUUUUUUUUUUCUAUCUGAAACGUAGAGUGACAGAGAGUGAGGGAGAGAUAGAGAGAGAAAAACUUGUUCCAUCCACUGGUUUAUUCCCGAAAUGCCCGCAAUAGCCAGGGUGGCCCAGGCUGAAGCCAGGAGCCUGGCACUCUAGCUGAACCUCCCAUGAGGGGGACAGGAACCCGAGUACUUGGGCCAGCUUCUGCUGCCUCCACAGGAGCAUCAGCAGGAAGCUGGAUCAGAAGCAGAGUAGUGAGACUUGAAUAGGAACUCCAAUAUAGGAGGUAGACAUCCCAAGCCGUAGCUUAAUCUGCUGCACCACAAUGCCUGUUUAACAUUUUUAACAUUAUUUUAAGAAAAAAUAAACUGGCACUACAACAUCUUCACAACUUUCUUAAUUUAGUCUUUCUCUAUCAUUCUCUUGCAUGGAGUCCUAAGGACACAUGUCAAUUUCUCUUGGGAGCAGAAACACUUAUUCAUUUAGAGCAUGGCAGUCAAAUAAAUAAUCUCAUGUUGAAUAAGACUUUCUUAAGACCUUGCUCAUGUACUCUUUUUCUCUCACUGAAAUUCAGAACAUUCCCAUGGCAUUAAGUGGCAUUGACUUUCUGGUUUCCUAUUUCUAAAUCAUCAGAUGCAGGAGAGGAAGAAGCCAAGUAAGAUGCACAAGUGAUUAAAAAUAUUUUUUCUAACGUAUGCAUUUGGAUUUAUUUAAAUAUGGAAGCAGUAAGAAUCUAAGAAUCAGGAAAAUACAGUAUGAACUGUCAGCUCUAAAGCCAGGAAUAUGCUUUACUUUGUUCUUGCUCCAUACUACUUUCCUGUCCCAGUUUCUCAAAAAAAUUAUAUUUGUUUAAUGGAACUAGUGAAUUAUAAAAUACAAAUAAUAGUCUUUCUAAUCUUCUUGAAUAAGUAAUACAAAAUGAAAUUAAACUCUUUAAAAUAGUUUUCAAUUUUAACCUAACUUCUUGAUUAAAUUUUUCUAAUCAACACUGCAUUUUCUGUUUUAUCAUAAAUGUGAAAUGAUUUAAAGAUAUAAUACUUUUCAUUCUGGAAUAUCCAUUACAAGUUUAGUCAAAUGAUAUGAAUUCUAAGAGUCUUCAUGCCCUAGCAAAUGAAUUAUGUCGACAGAAGCACUUUUAGAAGAAACAUCCUUUUCUGUAUGAAUAUUUCAAAUUUCUGAGUAGAGACACUUUAUACAAGGUGAAAUGCUUUUUGUUGCUGUCAACUGAAUGAGAGCUAUGUUUGUUACUUCUAUAGUGAGACAAAGAAAGGAUAUGUUCUUUAACAGUACACAACUGCUACAACACAAGAACAUGUUUCAAAAUGAGGGUCAGGUCAGAGUAAAAGUACCCAGAAGGGAGUUGCUGGAAACUGGCCAACCUAGGCUUAGACAAGGCAACACACAGCCACUGGUGGUAUUUACAGCAAUCAUAGCCCCCGUGAGAUAGCAGUGGCCACUUUAACAGGGCUUCCAGGGAAAAAUGGUGCUGUUAUUGUUAGAAGUUUUCAUAAAAGCAUUCAUUGUCUUCACUAUUUGCUUUUUGUUUGUUUGUUGGAGUAAUAAUGAGAUCCCUAUUUGCAAAUGUUGUAGGAAUUCAUAGUUUGUAGGGAAUAUAAGCAUCAAAAAGAGAAGUGGUGUUUCUUAGGAGGAAUUUAAUAACUGUUUGUUGGAAGCAGCUAUCUUUUUCAAUAGAAUUAACCAUUUCUGACAUCUGAGAAUCGAUUCUGACAAUUGAUGGCAAGUGCAUACCCAUUUGGCCACUACAGACUGAACUCUGACAGUCAUAUUCAGCAGCUUUACAAUGUGUUAUUUUGUUAUAAAACAUUCAGAAAUUGGGUCUUAAUGCAUUCUGUUCUUCCCAAAAGCCAAUUACCAGCAUUUAUACUGUUAUUAGAAAGCUUCAAAUGAAGUCACUUAUGUUACAGAAUGACUGAAAAUUCACAAAAUAUGACAGCUCAGAUUCUUGGAACAUACUAGGGAAACUAAACUCAUGCUCUCAUUUAAUUAAUGGCUUGCAAGUUUCCUUGAUUGUCAAGAUAUGAUGCAUGUUUACCUCCUGAAAAUUCUUUUUCUGGGGAAUAUACCUACACAACAUAUGUAUGGAUAUAUAUAGAUAUGUUUGGUGAGAAGGAUUUGUAGAAGUAGUAUGUGACUAUCAUAAAAGAUUAGAAAACAUACAAACAUUGUAAGAAGGGAAACAAAGAUCACUAUUGGAAUCAAUUGAUGUACAUCCUUUCUGAUUCAUGUUUCUUUCUAUUGCUCUACCCAGAGAUUUUUAAAAAGAUUUAUUUAUUUGAAAGAGUUACAGAGAGAGAAGGAGAGAUUCAGAUCUUCCAUCUGCUGGUUCAUUCCCCAAAUGGCCACAACAGCUGGGGCUCAGCCAGACUGAAGCCAUAGCCAGGAGCUUCAUCCAGGUCUCUCACGUGGGUGCAGGGGCAUUGAUACUUGAGGCAUCUUCUGUUUCCCAGGUACAUUGGCAGGGAGCUGGAUUGGAAGUCGAGCAGCAGGGACUCGAAGAGGCGUUCCUAUGGAAUGCCAGAGCUACAGAUGGUGGCUUAACCUGCUGUGCCACAGUGCUGGCCCCUAGAGACUAAUUUUUUUUUUCAUUAAUGGAGUUAUAAAGAUACAGCAGAAUCCUACAAUACUGUCUUUUGACUUUUAUUAGUCAUAGACUCGGAAAACACAUAAUGGUGGAACUGCUAAAAAUUCAAUAACACUAACAAUUCUUAUUCAUAACAACACAUAUGUUUGAACAACAGCAGUACAAUAUUCUAACAGAAUGUAUAUAUAAUGCAGGUUACUAAUUAUUUGCAUGUUAUUAGAAGACUUUUUGUAAAGACUGUGGUCCACACAUUUAGAACUGCUGAUUUGAAUCUUUUAACAACAAACCAAGAUUUUGUGGCUAUGUUGAUUACUUUAUGUUUAAAGUAAUUUCUUUUUUUAUAGAUUUAGUUAUUUUAUUAUGUGAAAGAGUUGCAGAGAAAGAGGCCUUCCACUCUGCUUGCUUACACCUCAAACAGCUGCAACAGCUGGGGCUGGGUCAGGCUGAACCAGGUUCUUCUUCCCUUACUACUGUGGCAUCUUCUGCUU